CCUACGGGUGGCAGCAGUGAGGAAUAUUGGUCAAUGGGCGAGAGCCUGAACCAGCCAAGUCGCGUGUGGGAAGACGGUCCUAUGGAUUGUAAACCUCUUUUGCCGGGGAGCAAAAAGCGGUACGUGUACCGCAUCGAGAGUACCCGGAGGAAAAGCAUCGGCUAACUCCGUGCCAUCAGCCGCGGUAAUAGGGAGGAUGCGAGGGUUAUCCGGAUUUAUUGGGUUAAAAGUGUGCGCGGGCGGCGAGUUAAGUCGACGGUAAAAUUUCGGGGCUCAACCUGGACAAGCCGUUGAAACUGGCUUGCUAGAGUGGGCGAGAAGUAUGCGGAAUGCGAGGUGUAGCGGUGAAAUGCAUAGAUAUCACGCAGAACUCCGAUUGCGAAGGCAGCAUACCGGCGCCCAACUGACGCUCAGGCACGAAAGCGUGGGUAUCGAACAGGAUUAGAUACCCGAGUAGUC
rnacentral:rRNA from 1 species